CUCAAAAGAAGUUUGUGAAUUGAAUUGGAUGAGAACAUGGAGGUAGAUGCUAGAUGACAGGAUGGGACAGAUCUCCUGUGACUUCCAGCCCAGGAAGAAGGAAAUGUGAUGAUUACAGAGGGUGAUGGAUUCAUGGACAAGAUAUUCAUGUGAAAAAGUUACCUCCCCCAAAAAGCUGGGGGUCCUAGUGGUCGGCAAGAUCAAAGUUCCUCAUAGCUCUGAGCACCGUGAGCCUGAAGUGGUGCUGGACCCUGGAGAUGCCUCCGCCCCUGAAGGAUCUUCAGCUUCCCUGGAACCCAUCAUCCCAGGAACCUUUUCAGCACAGCUCCCAACCCAAACUCAGAAGCAUAAAGACACAAUCUGUUUCUGGUAACUUUAAUCAUAAAAACCAAAAACAUCCAUAUAAAUAAAACUGUUGUGUAAAAUACAGUUAGUUCUUCUUUCUACUAAAUCCCCUCUCCAACCCACACUCAAAAAAAUCACAUAGAAAACCCAAGACAGAGAAAUAAGUUGUACAAAUAUACAGGGUCCCUGAUGACUAAGUAGCAGCAGCCUUGGGGGCCCAACCGGGAGGGCAAACCAGGCCACUGGCGCUCCCUCCGUGACUCGGGAGGGUUUCCAGCCUCCCCCCCUCGGCGGUGGAGGUGUGAAAAGGCUGACCUGGCCUCCUGGAGGGAGGCGAGGAGGAGGGGGGAAGGCCCCCAGAGGGGGUGGCUGCUUCUGCUGCCAGUCUAUUUAAGAUGCAGUGGGUGAGUAAACUAGGAGGUCACGUGGGGAGGUCCUGCUACUUCCCUUCUCGGGGGACAAGAAAGGGCAGUAAUCACUUGUCCGCCCAGAGGAGAGAUUCAGUCUUCACUGGCCAGUGAAGACGGCCUGCAGGCAAGGGGCCCAGAGGCGCCACUUGGAGGGACCCCGAGCCUCUUGAAAGGCUGCGGGAAGGGAAGCUGGGAGGAGCCCCGGGCAGCUCUGGGCCCCCCUCCCUUCCCAACUGGCUCAGGCUCCGCUCUGGGGGCUCCUUCCCUGCCCACUGCCCCGGAGCCUGCUGCCCCCAUAUCCCAACUCUUGGAGUGAGACGGUAGACACUCGGACACACACACAAGCACAAGUAAGGCACCCAGGUGCCAGGGGAAGUGCCCACAAAGACACACAAUACACACACGGAGAGAAAGAGAAGGCCCCGGGGCUCCCUCCCAAAGCCAGGGCCGGCCUGAGGCUGCCCUGCCCAGGGAGAGCCGCGGGGCAGGGCCGGGCCGGGAGGGGCUCGGCCUGUGUCAGGAGCACUUCCAGACACACACGGCCAGCGUGCCGCCAAAGUACAGAUACAGCAGGUUCUUCACCUCGUGGGUGAUCUCGAAGCCGAAGCCCUCGCCGAUCACCACGUGCCAGGAGGAGCCGAAUUUCUUGUCCAUGGUCUCUUUGAUCAUCUUGGCGGCGCUCUGCGAAGGGCAGGCCGGCAUCAUGCGAGGGCAGGGCAGCCACGGAGGGCUCCCCAGCCCCCCUUUCUACAGCCGGUC
rnacentral:lncRNA from 1 species